GAUAAUUUAAUGGGUUUUUUUCGGGCACGUAAAUAGAACUUUUGCUUAAGUGUUGAAUCCACUAGGAUCUUACUCUUCUCUGUUCCAUUGCCUUGCCCUUUCAUCCAGUUUUCAUCUCUCCAAAGCCUGUCAAUCCUGCUUCAAGCAGUGGCUGAAGAGGCUAUUUGAGAGUAAUGUAAGUCAAUCCUCCUCCUCUUGCUAAGUGCAUUCCCUGUACAAUGAACUAAUUGUUUGCAAAGCUCUUUGAAGAUUAAAAAUGCUGAAGAAGUACUGUUUAUUAAUAUUAAUAUCCGAGUUCCUGCUAGGCGUGUUUUGAGGGAUUGAGUUCUGAUAACCUUAAUGACAUUGGAGCACUCCACAAAUAUACAUCAGGUCAACCCACAGCUAUUUGUUUCUGUGGCACAAUGAAUCAUUUGAGGAUUUUUUAGUAGAAAGCUUGCACUGCAAAUGAGGUCACAACAAAUGAUUUGGUGUUUGAGAGCAGAAACUUAUUGUCCACUCGCUCAAGUCCUGUGAACAGAUUGUGUAUCUAAUUUUGUUUUGUCCCCAUGCUGUGAUAAUAUGAUAACCUUGCACCAGUGUGUGACAAGUGGAAGAGAAAAUGUGGUUUUCAUGUCAUGAAAGAAAAGAGCACAGCUUGAGCUGCUGUUUUAAUCCCUCUGCCUUCUCAUCCAGACUUCCUUUUUUUUAAACACAGGCCACUGCUUUCCAAAAAGAAAAUAUUUCAGAGCUUACCCCCUAAAUGUCACUCUAAUUCUUGCAAAAAUCCCUCUCUAAAAAGCAAAAUAUUUCAGUAUUUGAAUUUUCUUCAGUGCCCUGAUCCAUAUCUACCUACCAGUCAGGUGUCCUUUGUACUCCUUGCAGUGAUUUUUCUUGGCAUGUAUUUUUUUUUAUUGUGGCUUUUGGGUCACAUAUAUAAUUCUGCAAGGUGUUUGGGUUUGGGAUUUUUUUUCUUGCAAAUGUAAUGCCUUGGCAACAAUGCUGAUUUUUCGUUCCUAGUGCUCUCUUCUGUACCAAAAUCCGUAUUAAAAUGAUUCAUGAAAUUUGUUUAGACAACGUAACUAUUUAUCCUCUAUCAAGGCAUCAUGAAUGAUUUGGCUUUGAAAAGCAUGGGCUUCGUAUCUGUUUUCAAAAGGCAUCUUUUAGUCUUUUGUUGGCUUCCUUGGGACUUGUAUAUAACCAGUUUUUAUAUAUAAUGAAACUAGGAAAAGAAAUUAAAAAAUAAGGAAACAAAAGUCAGACAAUGGAACUACAUCCGAUAUUGCCCACUGGGAUAAAAGUCAGUGGAAGUAUUAAGACUUAAAAAAAUAAACAAAAAACAUAACUUUUUUUAAAGCAGAUAACAGGAGUAAUACAAUUAGGAAAUUUCAAGGUAUAACCCUAUAGUGGCCUGAUGUUCUAGUUACGCAUGCUAAAAGAGCUAAUGAAAGGAUUAAAAAAAAAAAAUGGAAAGUGUAAGAUAAUAAUGAAAAUAAACUGAAUUUUGAUGUCCAGCAUGGUAAAAUAUGUCCAAGGAAAUUUUUAAUUAAAAACAACUAGAAGUCAAACUUAAAAGGGGAAAAAAUUAUCCAGAAAUGCGUAUUUCUCCUGGAGAACAGAAUUACACCAGACAGUAAUGGAUAACAAAAUGUAGCCUUUGUGCUUAGUGUCUGGAGAAACAGGGGGCCAUGCUAUGCUGUAUGUUUCAGAAUCCUGUGUGUAUUACUUGCUACACCUAUCGUAUGCCCCAUAAGAGGUAAAUUUAAAUCCAGAGUGCCCUCAUGGCUAGCAUUCUGGUCCCGGGGACUAGGUAAUUGGACUGUAAGAACUCAGCUCUCAGGAGUAGUGGGGAUGCCAACUAGAAAAUUUACAUCCUGAGUGUGUGUGUAGAGAUCCCAGGCAGAGCAGUGCCUGGACCCUGUUCAGAUUCUGGAGGCUUAAUUAAGUAUUUGGAUCCUCUAACAGCAGUCUGGUGAGUGUCUAAAAGUGCGGGUUCAACUAGAUCUGAGACAAGGCCAUAAAUUAAACCCCAGGCUUCUGCUGCUGCUGGAUACUAAGUAACACUUCAGUACUUUAAUUUUUAGAUCGUAUUUCAUGUCUGACACUGUCCAAACUUGCCUGUGAAUGUUUUGGGAGGGUACCCUAUAAUGACCAGGAGUAGGCUGAAUUAGAAGCUGCUUCUCUGCUGAGAAUCUCAAUUGUGGGUGGGGGAAGAGAAAGGUGAAGUGACUUGCCCAGGUUGUUGCAGCAGAUCAGUGGUUUAGCCAAGAAUAGAACCCUGGUCUCCUUAGCUCCAGACUGGUGUCUUAUCCACAGGACUAUGUUACCUCAUUAUCCUCCUGUCCGAAUCCCAAGUCCCCUCUGGCUCCAGCAGUGGUAGACUGAUCAUGGGAGGCAGCUGGUGGUUCCCUUGCCUCAUAUGAGCAUGGUGAUGGUAGGGAUAAUAAAUGCAUGCCACUUAAAGGGGAAGCAAGGGUUCUGCUGACACUUGAGAAAAUAGUGGAGGGGAAUAUAAGCCCUGCCUUCUGCUAAAGUGCGGCAAGUUAGGCUUUCCAUUUGUCUCUGAGAAGUCAUCUGCUGGCUGUUCUACCCCGUUCCACUUCUUUCCUUAUAAAGUGGCAGACUAUAACCUGCUAGUGGAGGAAGGAUGAGCAGGGGAGAAGGAAAAGCACCAGGCCGAGUCACUGAGACACUGUCCAUGACCUAGACCUGCAACAGAGAGGAAGGUUUCAUAUAGCUCUGCUACCCUCAGUGUUGUAUACUACCCUGGGAGCUGACAGGUGCAUGGGUGCAAGUCUUGGGGUGGGAGGCCAACGUAUUCUUUACAAUUUUUAGAGCUGGUCCAAAGUUUUAAAAUAUUUUUUUAAUCAAAGUGUAGCUACUUUUUUUUUUUUUU